GACCAGAAAAUAAAUGCAAAAAUGAAACAACUUUGAGCGGUGGAUCACUCGGCUCGUGC
rnacentral:rRNA from 1 species